ACACUGGAUAUUGUGUUUGGAGAAGUGGACAGAUAAAGAAAUUCUAUCAGAGAACUGUGCUGUAAUUUAUUGUGAAAUAAAGCUGUUGACACUUUCUUGUGCAAAGAAAAUCUCAGAAAAUUUCGAUUCUCUAAAGGUAUCACACUGAAACACUGUAGAGAUGAUUAUAUUCAAUAAAAUUGUUUUAAU
rnacentral:misc_RNA from 1 species